AUUUGUUCAUGCUAAGUUUGUCUACGCAGCUCAAUGACUGAAAUUAAGAGUUUCCACUUCAGUCAACUUCAAUUCACAAAUUUUGUCUGCAGGGAGAUCAGUAAUUUAACUCUGCUUAGCUAUAAUCAUGACAUUUAAUCUUAUUACUCUUAUUGCAAGGCCUUUAAACAGGACAUCAUGGCUGGUUUAAUAAAUGAUCAAGAUACCAAAAAUGAGUAGAAGGCCAAGAGCAUCAAAGGAGAUGCAGGUGAGUUAUUUAGGAUAUGUUGUUGGUGUGCAUUUUUAAAAGAUGGUAAACAAGAGAAAAUAAAAAUGAAAAUUCUCUUUUUUUUCUCGGCACUGCUGCAGCUGGUGGAGCAUCAAAGAAAUUCAUAAUUACAGAGUCAAAAGAGAACCUGUGGCAGAAAAUGAACAUUGCAAGACUUUUUUGAUAGUGAAUUGGGGAUGAGCAAGCUGGACAUUCAGAAAACAGAGCAGGAAUUCCCCAAAUCCUGAACGUAGUAACAAGCUCUAUGGAAGUCUAUGGAAGCCUAUGUUGUUAUUUUUCUGCCUUUUUUUUUUACUUUCAAUACAUUUUUUAUUGAGAUUUCAUGUAGGGUUACAUUUUCUGCCUCUUUUUAAGGCUAAUUUGCAAGGGGAUGUCUUAAAACUGAAUUCAUUGUUACAGAACAGUAUGGCAUAGUAACAUUUAAAUGUUUAAAAAUGCCCCCUUUACCCUUCUCUUACCUAUGCUGCUUAAUCUGUGUAAAACAAUGUGUAUACUUACCUAUUUUCAGUCCGCACUGACCUGGCCAUGUGAUCCGCAGAUCCAGCUCCCCUGUGUCAGUCAGUGGCAACUGCAGGGGAGCAGAUGAAGCACCAAACAUGAAGUUCAUCCCUCUAGUGAAUGUGCUAACAGUUCUGGUUGUGCAGUGCGGAUUGAUCUCCAGCCUGACAAUGCCUGAUAAUGCCUACAUAAUUCCGACACCAAUGUCAUUUGGCAAAGUCAGUGGCAUACUACCCUUAUAACCUCUCCCCUCACCUCUCAGAAACAGAAACCGCUGCAAUUUGCAACCACUGAUGCACAAUGCUGAAGCGAGAAAAUGGGGCCCUAAUAUCUCUCUAGAAUUUGACCAUCUCUUUAAUAUGGAAUAUGGAACAUAUGAAGAGCUGCUAUACAUCCUUGAAAAGCUAAAAGAUAAAAAACAAGCCAUCCACUUCAUAAACAACUAUCAAGCCAUAGAAAACUCAUCAAUUUUGCUAAUGCUUUAACGACAAAGUUUAUACAGUAGGUUGUCCACUUUAGAACUGGGUUCAUGUGAGAGAAUGGACUACAAAAACCAUUUGCUCAAAAGAGCCACUGAAGUUCAAAAUAAUUUGACGCCUUAUCAUUAAGCUUCUCAUAAGCAGAAUCGUAAAUUAUAGACCUACAGUACAAUGCUGAAUACUUGAGUCUUUUCUGUACUUAGGGUGAAACAAAAAUAAUUUUAAGCUGAUUGUAAUGAUAUGUAAUUCAUGUGUUGAUAUUGAUAUUCUAAAUUAUUAAACACAUUGCAAACAAUA